UCUCUUUCUCCCUUUUACGGGUUGAGAUCCAAAAAAGGACUUCAUAUUUUGUUGAUAAUCAAUGGUAAUCAAAUUGCUAAAGAAGUUUUCGAAUUUUUGAUUUCGUUGCCGCUUGAGAACUUAAGUUAUUCAAUUAUAGUGUUGACCAGUUCCACUUCAAGAAGAUUAACUUGAUUUGCUCUAGUGGAUAUUGCUAACCAAUUGUUGGGAUAUUUCCAUUGCAAGGAAUGAACAACAAGAUCGGAAUGAAGUUUCAUUUUUAUUUUAUUUUUCAUUUUUCUCUAAAUUAUGAUGUAUCAUUUAUGUAUGUAAUGAAUGUAUUGAGUAAAUUAUAUUAUAUAUAUGUACCAAAUUGCAUAUGAAA